CUGCCCUUAACUCUGGGAUAAGCCUUGGAAACGAGGUCUAAUACUGGAUAUUGACAUUUCACCGCAUGGUGGUUUGUUGAAAGAUUUAUUGGUUUUGGAUGGACUCGCGGCCUAUCAGCUUGUUGGUGAGGUAAUGGCUCACCAAGGCGACGACGGGUAGCCGGCCUGAGAGGGUGACCGGCCACACUGGGACUGAGACACGGCCCAGACUCCUACGGGAGGCAGCAGUGGGGAAUAUUGCACAAUGGGCGAAAGCCUGAUGCAGCGACGCCGCGUGAGGGAUGACGGCCUUCGGGUUGUAAACCUCUUUCAGUAGGGAACAAGGCCAGCAUUUUUGUUGGUUGAGGGUACUUGCAGAAGAAGCGCCGGCUAACUACGUGCCAGCAGCCGCGGUAAUACGUAGGGCGCAAGCGUUAUCCGGAAUUAUUGGGCGUAAAGAGCUCGUAGGCGGUUUGUCGCGUCUGCCGUGAAAGUCCGGGGCUCAACCCCGGAUCUGCGGUGGGUACGGGCAGACUAGAGUGAUGUAGGGGAGACUGGAAUUC
rnacentral:rRNA from 1 species